CCGAGAGGCGUAGGCGAUGGAUAACCGGUUGAUAUUCCGGUACCCGCUGUGAAGCGUCAAACAUCGAACCAGGCGAUGCUAAGUCCGUGAAGCCGCCCUUGAUCUCUUCGGAGUGAGGGGGAGUGGUGGAGCCGACGGACCAGACCUGUAGUAGGUGAGUGAUGGGGUGACGCAGGAAGGUAGUCCAUCCCGGGCGGUGGUUGUCCCGGGGUAAGGGUGUAGGCCGCAAGGUAGGUAAAUCCGCCUUGCAUACGGCUGAGACCUGAUGCCGAGCCGAUUGUGGUGAAGUGGAUGAUCCUAUGCUGUCGAGAAAAGCCUCUAGCGAGUUUCAUGGCGGCCCGUACCCUAAACCAACACAGG
rnacentral:rRNA from 1 species